GACGAACGCUGGCGGCGUGCUUAACACAUGCAAGUCGAACGGAAAAGCCCUGCUUUUGUGGGGUGCUCGAGUGGCGAACGGGUGAGUAACACGUGAGUAACCUGCCCUUGACUUUGGGAUAACUUCAGGAAACUGGGGCUAAUACCGGAUAGGAGCUCCUGCUGCAUGGUGGGGGUUGGAAAGUUUCGGCGGUUGGGGAUGGACUCGCGGCUUAUCAGCUUGUUGGUGGGGUAGUGGCUUACCAAGGCUUUGACGGGUAGCCGGCCUGAGAGGGUGACCGGCCACAUUGGGACUGAGAUACGGCCCAGACUCCUACGGGAGGCAGCAGUGGGGAAUAUUGCACAAUGGGCGGAAGCCUGAUGCAGCAACGCCGCGUGCGGAAUGACGGCCUUCGGGUUGUAAACCGCUUUCGCCUGUGACGAAGCGUGAGUGACGGUAAUGGGUAAAGAAGCACCGGCUAACUACGCG
rnacentral:rRNA from 1 species